rnacentral:rRNA from 1 species
UACGAAGGGGGCAAGCGUUGUUCGGAAUUACUGGGCGUAAAGGGCGCGUAGGCGGCCGAUCAAGUCAGGCGUGAAAUUCCCGGGCUCAACCUGGGGGCUGCGCUUGAUACUGAUUGGCUUGAAUGCGGGAGAGGAUAGUGGAAUUCCCAGUGUAGAGGUGAAAUUCGUAGAUAUUGGGAAGAACACCAGUGGCGAAGGCGGCACCCUGGCCGAGUUCUGACGCUGAAGCGCGACAGCGUGGGGAGCAAACGGG